GGGGGUGAACUGGCUUCGACUUUGAAGGUUGAGGUGUCGGAAGCGAGCCGAGGUCCCCGGAGUCCUCGUUAAAGAGCCGGGAAACAAACAAGUGCCGAGGGUAACUCCGCACUAGCUGCUUAAUUGACAGCUCGUCCUCCCAGGUGGGUGCCUGCCUCGCCGGGUCAGGGCGUCGCAAUGCAGGAUGCCCCCGCCGGGGUCCGGGACCGGUGGGGAAAGAACAACUCCGGAUACGGCUGCGGGGAACUUGCUGACAGAGUCCCACAGCUCGAAAAACUCGCUGUCGGCUGCGCUCGGAGAUGCCGGCGCUAAAACUUCAGAGGACCGGGGUUCGAAUCCCCGCACCUCCACAC
rnacentral:tmRNA from 1 species